GACGAACGCUGGCGGCGUGCCUAAUACAUGCAAGUAGGACGCAGUUGCGAACGGGUGAGUAACGCGUAGGUAAAUACCUAUAAGAGGGGGAUAACUAUUGGAAACGAUAGCUAAUACCGCAUACUAGUAGAUGGACCUGCGUUGUAUUAGCUAGUAGGUAGGGUAAUGGCCUACCUAGGAAACGAUACAUAGCCGAGCUGGGAGGGGUAUCGGCCCAACUGGGACUGGGACACGGGCCCGACCCCCUCGGGAGGCAGCAGUAGGGAAUCUUCGGCAAUGGGGGGAAACCUGACCGAGCAACGCCGGGUGAGUGAAGAAGGUUUUCCGGUCGUAAAGCUUUGUUUUUAAGGGAGCGGUACUUAACCAGAAAGGGACGGCUAACUACGUGCCAGCAGCCGCGGUAAUAC
rnacentral:rRNA from 1 species